UACGGGGGGGGCAAGCGUUGUUCGGAAUUACUGGGCGUAAAGGGUUUGUAGGUGGCUCGCUAAGUCAGACGUGAAAUCCCUCAGCUUAACUGGGGAACUGCGUCUGAGACUGGGGAGCUUGAGUGCAGGAGAGGAACGCGGAAUUCCAGGUGUAGCGGUGAAAUGCGUAGAUAUCUGGAGGAACACCGGUGGCGAAGGCGGGUCUCUGGGCCGAUACUGACGCUGAGGAGCGAAAGCGUGGGGAGCGAACAGG
rnacentral:rRNA from 1 species